CGGGUGGUUGGUACGAGGGGUGGGGCUUCAGGGCGUCCCGGCCCCGCCCCCGGCCCCGCCCCGGCUCUCCGCGCCCCCACUUUUCCAGGUGCGGGCUGGGAGCUGAGUCCCGCGCUGCUAGCGCGCGGCUGCAAAUGUUUUGCCCUCAACGUCCUUGGCUUCCUCCUGCUCGCCCACCUGGUGUCUUCCCAAACGUUUUCUGAGGCGGCCUGGGGUCCUCCCACCCUGUCCUCUGCCGGCACGAACUUGAAGAUUUAGGGGGCUGGGAGGAGUCAGGACUGAAAGGCUAAAUAAAGCCAAGCGAAGCGGGGUGCGGGCGAGCAGCUGCUGCGGCCCCCGCGCGCGCCCCCGACCCGGCCCUGCGGGGCGGCGGGGACCCCUGCGCUGCGCUGCUCUCCACUUCCCGCCUCUGCCUCCCCCUCGCUGGAACGGGCCUGUUGCAAAGUGAAGAAGUCGUUCUGCAGCGGAGGCUCCAAGCAGACCUGGCUCUUUGCAGUCCUUAAAUAAAGGGAAAUGCAACCCGAGGUUGCAGUGCGUGCCACGAAGAAGGGGUAGCAUGCAUGUGGGCAUCUGGCCGUGGAGAACCCUCCUCUUUGAUUAGGCUGAAAACCCAUCCAUUGCUGUAUUUGAGGAAACAGCUCACCGGGAAUGAAGUGAAGGAGGCAGAGUAACUGGAGUCGGGGUCCUGACACAUCUGGGUUCAGAUAUUCUCGCUGGCCCGCACAUCUCUGAGUUAGUUUUUUUUUUUUUUCCCCCUUUUUAUCGGUACCAGGGAUCGAACUCACGACUGCCUGCUUGCAAGGCAGGCUCUUAUGCCGCUGAGCUAAAUCCCCAGCCCCUCUGAGUUAGUUUCUUAAUCUGAAAAAUAAACAGGACUGGACUGAUGAUGGA